CGGAAGGGCACCACCAGGAGUGGAAUCUGCGGCUUAAUUUGACUCAACGCGGGAAAACUCACCAGGUCAGGACACGGUAAGGAUUGACGGACUGAAGGCUCUUUCUCGAUUCCGUGGAAAGUGGUGCAUGGCCGUUUUUGGUUGGUGGAUCGAUCCGUCUGGUUAAUUCCGUUAACGAACGAGACCUCGGCACUCCGAAUAGCGCGGCGGACGUCGCGGCCUCCGGGCCGUCUUCCGCACGAGCUUCUUAGAGGGACCGUCCCCCCGCCGGGGAAGGAGGUGCGAGGCAACGACAGGUCUGUGAUGCCCUUAGAUGUUCUGGGCCGCACGCGCAUUACACUGACGCGUCCAACGGGUGACUCCCGACCCGAAGGGGCCGGGGAAUCCGCAAGGCGCGUCGUGAUGGGGAUUGAACGUUGCAAUUGUUGUUCACGAACGAGGAAUUCCUAGUAGGCGCGGGUCAUCAACCCGCGCCGAUUACGUCCCU
rnacentral:rRNA from 1 species